AAACACCUCAAUGAAGAUCAGUAUACUUCUAAAAUGUAUUACUAUUAAUAUUUCUAUUUUCAAACUUUUUACAUAAUUUAGUGCUGGGGUAGUUAGCAUUCUGCUCGUCCAAUGUUGUGGACUACAUGUUCCAUAAUGCUGGCAAAUCAUUAGGGGAACUGUAGUCCAUAACAUCUGGAGAGUCUAAAUGCGCUUGCCUUUGUUCUACAGCAUUGAAUAUGUUUAUGAAUUGUUCUAUUGACACCAGAUCUUAAAGAUUUAUAGCAGAGCACCCAAAGGCAUUGCUCCCUUAGUUCGGUGGAACAUGGUUCCACCUAAGUUUUACCCGGUGCUCUUCACACACUGGCAAAUUCUGCUCAAUUGUACAUCAGACUCCCCCAUUUUUAUUACUACCAACCUUUGUCACUACAAAAUUUAGUUUCCAUGAAAAACUCUUCUUCUUAUAAAAACCAUAAAAAAAAUACUUCAAUUAAAGAUAUUAUAUUAUUACCAUACCUGGGAACUUGACCCAUUUUUAUACGGAAUCUCCGGGUUUGACAACAAGUUGCUCUGUUUUGGGGGACUUCUGUUACUUCACCUAUUCCUUUUGGGACCAAAAUAUAAACCACCAUCUAUUUUAGAGAGGGUUCUUUUUAGAUGCUCGUUUUCAGUUUCUUCUUUUCAUCCUAUCCCUGUAUUUGGAGAUUUAUGGACAAAGAGUAUUACAAAGUAUCCAGAUAUCAAUAGGAGUAUGCCCCUUUAGCAAAAUUGACUGUAAUUAAAUAAACAAUAGUACAAGUAUACUUUUUUUGCAAGUUUAAAUAAUGUUUUGCAUUCCUUUCCAUAGCACAUAGUCUGCUAUUUAUUUUUAUUGCAGGUAUUUUGAAUAGGGUGCUGUAUAAAUUUCACAUUUUAUUAUAAGAUGUUAAACUGGUAAAGAAAGAUAGUUAUUUAUUGAACGUUGCAAGUUCUCAAAUAUCAAGUAGAAUUACACUAAAUAUAACAAUACUACUCUCACUCGAUCUAUAUAGUUGCAAUUAUCUACAUUUGAAUAAAAAAUAUAUCUCUUUAACCCUGUAUAAUAGAGAACAAUAUUUUGCUUCUUCCAUUUAAAGGGUUAAGCUAAAUACUUUUAAUCUGCAGCUUUGCCUCUGCUUCAAUUGUGUUAAUGCUGCCUCUAACAAGUUUAUAUGCCCGUUCGGAAAAAAGGGAACCACACCUAACAGCUUAUUGGCUGCAUGCUGGGAGGUUAAAAAUAGAAGCGUAGAUACAUAUUGGCUAGAUUUGGCUGGGCCAUUUAUCUUGUUGUGGUUAGUUAUUUGGCUGGGAACAUUUUCUUUCUUGAGAUCACUUUGUCGUUUAUUUUUACUUACAUUAGUUUUACAGAUGACGGUUUGAGAGAUUCUAUAUUUGUAGCAACCAUUCUACUGUUUCAUCUGACCCUCUCUUGAUGAAGGUCAGAGUAUAGUAGGGUAUUAUUAUAGUAGGUAUAUUUGACUUGGUUACUCUCCGGGGAGAAUCCUGCGUCAGUAUGGCCUGUGAUUGAGGUAGAUUAUGGUUUCUACAUCUAAGAUUGGGUGAAAAAGAUUGGAUUAGGUUAGAUGGAGCACAUAGAGGUUUUUACUAAGAUACGUUAUUUUAAAGUGCUGUGGAAUAAGCUGGCGCUAUAUAAAUAAUAACCAAUAAUAAUACAUAGACUAUUUAAAAUUUGCAUACCCCAUGUAGACUUGCUUCACCCCAGCAAUCCAGAGAAUCCUUUACUAGGAUGGGUGUCUGUGGACCCUUAGGUACUACCUUCUCGUUCUAGAAGGUUGGAUGACCGUAAAAGCCUGCAGUUACACCAGCAGAAAAAUUACUUAAAGGAACACUAUAGUGUCAGGAAUACAAAAAUGUAUUCCUGACACUAUAGUGCUGGAAUAUCUAAUUAGGUCCCACUCUCUGUGAAGAUUAAAGGUAGUUUACAUACCUUUUAUCUCUCUAAAUGCUUGUCUUGCCACAGCUGGCUCAACCUCCAUGACUAAGAUCAUCAAUCUAUGGGGAAUGUUCAGCGUGGGGACGCUGAACACCAGUGCUGCACACUGUGCAGCACUGGACUGUGAGCACCUCUAGUGGCGAUCUGAGUGACUGUCACUAUAGGUGUUACUUGGCGGCAAUGUAAACCCUACUGUUUCUCAGCAAAUGCAACGUUUACAUUGAAAAGCCUGCAGGGACAUGCUAAAGAACCCAGAACAACUACAUUAAGAUUAAGACUAUAGUGUCCCUUUAAGAAAGAGGAAAAGUUCAGAAAGCCCCUUUGUCUAUUCUAACUAGGCUUAAUAACAAGCUGACUAGUCUGGGUAAUUCUUUAAAGUUAGAAAUUAGUAAUCUAGGAUUUUAUAUUUCAACUACCAAUUGCCAUAUGAUUCUGUGAUUACCACUAGCUAGCAGGGAUUGAGGAUUGUUGUGGGAAUUAAAGAGGAAAAGUGGCAUGUUGCUUGGAGACCCUGUAGGUGAAAGAUAUUAAGAUAAAUUCAAUGUGAAAUGCUACAGAUCUUUUAGAAUACCCCCAAAUAUAAU
rnacentral:lncRNA from 1 species